UCGUAACAAGGUUUCCGUAGGUGAACCUGCGGAAGGAUCAUUACUGUGAUUUAUACACCACACUGCGUGGGCGACACGAAACACCGAAACCGAACGCACGCCGUCAAGCAAGAAAUCCACAAAACUUUCAACAACGGAUCUCUUGGUUCUCGCAUCGAUGAAGAGCGCAGCGAAAUGCGAUACCUAGUGUGAAUUGCAGCCAUCGUGAAUCAUCGAGUUCUUGAACGCACAUUGCGCCCGCUGGUAUUCCGGCGGGCAUGCCUGUCUGAGCGUCGUUUCCUUCUUGGAGCGGAGCUUCAGACCUGGCGGGCUGUCUYUCGGGACGGCGCGCCCAAAGCGAGGGGCCUUCUGCGCGAACUAGACUGUGCGCGCGGGGCGGCCGGCGAACUUAUUACCAAGCUCGACCUCAGAUCAGGCAGGAGUACCCGCUGAACUUAAGCAUAUCAAUAA
rnacentral:misc_RNA from 1 species